UUGAAGGAUGAUAGGAUCAGCCUUAUCUGAAUAUCAUUAUANCUCUCAUAGGAUGAGCUCGNGNGUGCAUUUCUUAACGGAGCGUUAGGAGGCUUUCCCCGCCUUAAGAAAUNCCCCCCGUCCAAAAGCGGGGCGCACUAAUUACCCCAUCCCGAGGCGAGGAGGGUGACAAUAAAUACUGAUACAGGGCUCUUUUGGGUCUUGUAAUUGGAAUGAGUACAAUUUAAAUCCCUUAACGAGGAACAAUUGGAGGGCAAGUCUGGUGCCAGCAGCCGCGGUAAUUCCAGCUCCAAUAGCGUAUAUUAAAGUUGUUGUGGUUAAAAAAGCUCGUAGUUGAACCUUGGGCCUGGGCUGGGCCGGUCCGCCUCACCGCGUGUACUGGGUCCGGGCCGGGGGCCUUUCCCCUCUGUGGGAAACCCCCAUGCCCUUCACUGGGGUGUGGGGCGGGGGAAAACAGGGAACUUUUUUACUGGUGAAAAAAAAUUUAAGAAGNUGCUUCCCAGGGCAGGCCCUUAUGCCUCCGAAAUACCUUUUAGCCUUGGGAAUAAUUGAAAUUAGGGACCGUGGGGGGNUCCAAUUUUUGUUUGGGGUUUUCCAAGGGAACCGCCCCGUUAAAAGGAUUUAAUAAGGGGGACNAGGUCCGGGGGGGGCAUUCAAUNUANUUCCNANUUUUGUUCAAAAANGGUGGAAAAAUUCCNUUGGGGAUUUUUUUUNGAAAAAC
rnacentral:rRNA from 1 species